rnacentral:rRNA from 1 species
ACGAACGCUGGCGGCGUGCUUAACACAUGCAAGUCGAACGGAAAGGCCCUGCUUUUGUGGGGUGCUCGAGUGGCGAACGGGUGAGUAACACGUGAGUAACCUGCCCUUGACUUUGGGAUAACUUCAGGAAACUGGUGCUAAUACCGGAUAGGAGCUCCUGCUGCAUGGUGGGGGUUGGAAAGUUUCGGCGGUUGGGGAUGGACUCGCGGCUUAUCAGCUUGUUGGUUGGGUAGUGGCUUACCAAGGCUUUGACGGGUAGCCGGCCUGAGAGGGUGACCGGCCACAUUGGGACUGAGAUACGGCGCAGACUCCUACGGGAGGCAGCAGUGGGGAAUAUGGCACAAUGGGCGGAAGCCUGAUGCAGCAACGCCGCGUGAGGGAUGACGGCCUUCGGGUUGUAAACCGCUUUCGCCUGUGACGAAGCGUGAGUGACGGUAAUGGGUAAAGAAGCACCGGCUAACUACGUG